rnacentral:rRNA from 1 species
GUAACCUACGGGGCGCAGCAGUGGGGAAUUUUGGACAAUGGGCGCAAGCCUGAUCCAGCUAUUCCGCGUGUGGGAUGACGGCCCUCGGGUUGUAAACCACUUUAGUAGAGAACGAAAAGGAGCUAUCGAAUAAAUAGCUCUGCUGACGGUACUCUAAGAAUAAGCACCGGCUAACUUCGUGCCAGCAGCCGCGGUAAUACGAAGGGGGCAAGCGUUGUUCGGAAUUACUGGGCGUAAAGGGAGUGUAGGCGGUUUAGUAAGAUAGUGGUGAAAUCCCAGGGCUUAACUUUGGAAUUGCCAUUAUA